rnacentral:lncRNA from 1 species
CGCAAUUUUGUAUCAUUGUAGGCAGGAGCAAGCAUUCAUGUGCACAGGUAAUUGUAUGAGUAUUUAAUUAUACCCGCUAUAUGCAGGUGAUUACUGUAAUGCCCUUCCAUGCUAUUGGUGUAUUAACAUAACAUCGAGACCCCGCCAAAUCCAGCAGCGACAACUGCGGGGCCAGCGCUGCAUGCUGUGUAUUCCUAACGGUGUCUUUACUGUGUGAUUACCUGAAGGGGUCAGUGCCGCCCAGCAGUGGCACGAACCCACGGCACACAUCAAAGGCCCAGCGCGA